UGGACUGACCCAGUGAGCCAUAGAUUACAUCCUGCUCAGCCUAAAUGGGCAAAGCUGGUUCUUAAUGGACAAUUCGCGAAGGCUUCCCAGAGCAUAUCUUUACAGCAGUGGGAUCACAUCCGAAGAGCACAGCUAAUAAUGUUUCAAUGUUUUGCAGGUAUGUGUGGUGUCCUUUUAAUUUUGGAUGUGGAAUUUGGUGUCUUAUCCUUAGGAGCUAAACCACCUCUGUAAGAUGACUUCCAGAAUGAGAGAAUGGUGAAAACACAAGAGACCUCAGUCUACUUCUUCAAUAUUCUGACAACUAAUGCUAACCUUUUUGUUUCAUCUAAAUAAUCUUGCAUUGCUGAAUAAUCUUUCUUUUUAAGGGCUUCUGUAUGCAAGCACAGGACUUCAGUGCAGGAACCUGUCAAUAGCCAGAACUUGACAUGCAGCACAAGGUUAUGUCAGGGAGGAAAUUGUUGAUGGCUAUCGCUACGGGUAGAGAAACAGGAUAAGGCACUGCAUCAGUAGCAGUUAGCUUCUUCUGGUUGGUUUCCAGCUCCUAUUCGGGGUUAGUCUGUGUUAUGGUUUGGACUUGUAUUAUAUCAGUUAUAAAAUGUCCAAGUAAUUAAAAUAAAAUAAUAAAAUAAAUUGAAAUGGCACUGCGACAAAGCCUCCAGGUCCAGGCACCGUGAUGAGGCCCACAGACCAGACAAUGUAAGAUGGGCAUUCGCAUUGCCACAUGAUGGUAAGUACUGAUCAAUUGGCAGUGACACAUCUUUAUCUUAUCUGCUGUAUUAAUAAAAAAACACAGUGGCAUAUUUGUGAUAGUUAAUUGGUCACUCUAAAUUGCCCUUAGGUGAAUGAAUGAGUGUGUGCUUGGUUGUUUGUGUGUUGCCCUGUGAU